UACGGGGGGAGCAAGCGUUGUUCGGAUUUACUGGGCGUAAAGGGCGCGUAGGCGGUCAGCACAAGUCAGUUGUGAAAUCUCCGGGCUUAACUCGGAAAGGUCAACUGAUACUGUGCGACUAGAGUGCAGAAGGGGCAACUGGAGUUCUCGGUGUAGCGGUGAAAUGCGUAGAUAUCAGGAGGAACACCUGCGGUGUAGACGGCUUACUGGACCAUAACUGACGCUGAGGCACGAAAGCGUGGGUAGCAAACAGG
rnacentral:rRNA from 1 species